CUCUAGACAUGGCCGCUUCCAUGUGCUAACAUGAGAGCAAACCGAGCACACGCCUGUAGCUGAAAAUAACACACAGAACAGACCCACCUUCAUUUCUGUACCAAAAAAGCCCCGAAGGACAGAAAAGCAGCGUCCGCGUAGAGAAGGCGUCACAGGUAAAGGCGGUGUACCUUUAUGCUGGUGCAGACAACACGCCUGUUCCCCCUCAUCAUCUCCCAUCACCUGCAUCCUUCCUGCACCCGUUCUGUGAGGCAGACGUUUCGGUGGAGUGGUGGCAGUAUUGCUGCUGCCAGCAGGGGACUGAGAUCAAUGGACCCAGGGGCUCCCACCACCAAUGCUUCACCCACACCUGCUGAAUUUUCAGCAGAAAGCACGAACCCGGCUGCGACAGACAGGAUAGGCGGUCAGGAGACGACGCCUCCUGUAGGACUGUUACCUGGAGAGACGGUGGUCAGGGAGGGGAAGGCAACCAUCUUGUUUCCCAGUGCCAAUGAGGUGUUUUACAACCCAGUCCAGGAGUUUAACAGAGAUUUAACAUGUGCCGUGAUCACAGAGUUUGCCAGAGAUCUGCUGGCUCAGCGUGGAGUGAAGGUGGUAGUGCCUGGGGAGAAAGAGAGGGUGGUGGUCUCUCUGUCCGAGGAGGCGAAUGAGGCUGGCAUACAGACGGAGGAGAAAGAUGGAGUGGAGGAGUCAGCUGUAACUGCGACAGUAGGGGAGAAGUGUGAGCAUGGGCUUCGUGUCCUGGAGGGCCUGGCAGCGUCUGGUCUGCGCUCGGUCCGUUUUGCUCUGGAGGUCCCAGGUCUGCAGAGCGUCACUGCCAAUGACUUCUCCACGAAGGCUGCAGCCCUGAUUGGCAGAAAUGCCCAGUAUAACGGAGUGAGCCACAUCCUGCAGGCCAGCUGCAGGGACGCCAGCAUGCUGAUGUAUGAAAUGCGAGGGAAGAAGGACCGCUAUGACGUCAUUGAUCUGGACCCCUACGGUAGCCCCGCCUCUUUCCUGGAUGCUGCUGUGCAGGCUGUCAGUGAAGGAGGGCUGCUGUGUAUAACGUGUACAGACAUGGCGGUGAUGGCAGGAAACAGUGGAGAGACCUGCUACAGCAAAUAUGGUUCGGUUUCCAUCAAAGCCAAAUACUGUCAUGAAAUGGCUCUUCGUAUUAUCCUCCACAGCGUGGACCAGCGGGCAGGCGUGUACCAGCGAUACAUUCAGCCCCUGCUGUCCGUCAGUGUUGACUUUUACAUUCGGGUCUUUGUACGUGUGUUCACAGGACAGGCUACAGUCAAAAACUCAGCCAGUAAACAGGCCCUGGUGUACAACUGUGUCGGCUGUGGCUCUUUCCACUUGCAGAGAAUGGGCAGGAGAACAAGCAAUGGAAAACAUAUGAAGUAUUCUGCUGCCACAGGACCUCCAACUGGACCAGAGUGUGAACACUGUGGACAGAGACAUCAGCUGGGUGGUCCUAUCUGGGCAGAGCCCAUCCACGACUUGGCGUUUGUCCAGAAGGUUUUGUCUGGCGUGUCAGGGAACCCUUCCAGAUUUGGGACAUCUAAACGGAUUGAGGGCGUGCUCAGCAUGGUGACGGAGGAGUUGGAAGAUGCUCCUCUUUAUUACACCGUGGACAGUCUGAGCAGCACAGUACACUGUAAUACUCCACCCCUGCUCCAGUUUAGAUCGGCUCUCCUUCAUGCUGGUCACAGGGUUUCCCUCUCUCACGCCUGUAAGAACGCCAUCAAGACAGACGCUCCUCCUGCAGCCGUUUGGGAUAUCGUACGAUGCUGGGAGCAGGCCAAUCCUGUGAAGAGGGAGAAACUGUCACCGACUAGCCCUGCUUUCAAGAUCCUCUCCACCAAACCCAGCCUGGAGGCCUGUUUCACUGUGAGGGAAGACGCCAACCCUCAGUCCCGUAAACGCCAUCUGACACGGUUCCAGGAGAAUCCUCAGGCCUUCUGGGGACCCAAAGCUCGUGCCAAAGUUGGUGGUGGCAUCUCCACUGACCUGCAAGACAAGAGGAAGAAGUGUCAGAACAAGAGAAAGAACCAGAUCGCAGACUCCUCGCAGCUCAAGAGCUUUCCGUGCAAGAAGUUCAGACAGAGUGAAAGUAGCAGUUCAUCCUGAAGGUCAGAGAUUGCAGCAUCUGAGGGCCUCUUCAAAAGAAGACGUAGUUGAUGACGGCGUUCUGGAGCAGGACCAGAAAGACCACGACCAAGCAGCCUUGAGAUCUUAGGCAGCGUCUCCCUCAGGUUCCUCUCUAUCUCCCCACACAUCCACCAACCACUGGAACACAUCUCCAAAGUUCUGCUGGACCAGCUCAGCUUCACCUCAGAAGAAGUGCCGCCACCUGCCAGAUGAAGGUGCCUUUUGAGAGGCAGCUGGCAUCGUGAUUGGACUGUACUGUGGUCUGUUCCAAUCCAGCUUCAGCUCCAGAGACGGCAGGCGGGACGAGUCAACAGAGGCCUGGUGGACGAAGGCAUGCAGCUGAGUACAAUCCAGAAAACAACAGAGGAGGAGUGCAGCAGCCCAGAGCCAGAACAACCAGAGUAGCAUCGUAUGUCUCUUAGAAAACAUCAUAGUAGAGCCUUUGGUAUGAAAAAACACCAUCAUAUACAUCGUAUAUUGUACAAAUAACAAGUCAAAGGAAAGAGACAUACAUUGUAGAAUUGUAGUAAUUGUGGGCUGACUGAUUUACUGAUUAGCAGUAUUUUAUUUUUUAACGAUUUACAGUAAUAAAUACAUUUAAAAAUGGUG